CGAAGAGCUGCACUUCAUCUUUUUCUUAUUCAACAAAUCAAAAAGAAAUUGACUUCCAUUUUACUUUCAGUUUCAUCACAGACUCCAUCUGUAGUCAUCAGAUUUAAAAACCUCAUCAUUUGGUGUCUUUCAUCUCUCUAUCUGUUUCUCCAUUGCCUCCCCCUUCCCCUUCCUCUGCCUCUCUCUCUCUCUCUCUCUCUCUCUCUCUCUGUGUCUCUGCCCCUGUCAUCACAGCUACCCUCCAUAUCUUCUCCCCUCACUCAUUGCACUUUGUCACCAGUCUGUAGAUUGUGCAGUCAGGCUGUGGUUGUACUGUGGGAGACUGAGAGCGGAUAUCAUAUCACUCAAACCAGAAAACCACAGAGAGUGAAAAGAAGAAAAGAAACCCAAGGAGGCAAUGUCAUGUUGGUGAUGAAUAACUGAAAUAAUGGUCAGUGGAAGCAGAGUAAAGGGAAAACAAUGGGAUGAAGGGCACGAUGACCUGAUUGGGUGAAAACAUUCCCUUUAGUCUUCCGAGCACAGCAAUCACUUACACUGCAUCAUGUAAGCCGACUACUUUCCUUGUACCAUAUUGAUGUUGUUUUUUCAAAAAUAUAUUUUGCUCAAUGUUCCCCUGCUUUUCCUGAAAACCUUUCAUCCAAGAUUUCUGUGAUUUGCAGAUGUUUGACGUUUUUGCAUCAUGCUUUUACAUGGGAAACAUAUGCCCAUGUUCAAGCCGCUCCGCAAACAGUUAUAGUAUUGGUGGCCUCUCCACUUUAUCCCAGCAUUAUUUACUUAAAUCAAAUCCUCUAACAUCAGCUCCCCGCAUAGAGUUUAAUCUAUUAAUUGCACACAGGUGAUGCACUGUACAACCGACCAUUCAACCCAGUGGUGACCUUCACCCACCGAUUAAGAGCCCAGGUGAAAAAACAAUCCCAUCUACUUCCAAAAGGGGGCAGUCUUCAUCCUUUCAAAUAUGAUAAUAUUCAGACCGAUAUUUGCAGGUAGAGCUCGAUGCAUGGAUGAGCUGAGUUAAUAAAAUCUAUCUGUCUCUGAUUUUAAAUGUGUGGCUGAUCUGUGGAGGACAGUAUUUCACUCCCAUGUGUGCUGAGUGUAUUUUAAAGAAGUGACAAUAAAUCAAAAAUCAGAAAGUUACAUUGGCAAUUAUUCAAAUAAUAAAGGAACAUAUUUUUAAUGAUAGAUAAUAAAUGAUAAUGUCCUUCAACUUGUCACUGUACAGAUUGUUAAAUACAAAUACAGCAGGUUUCCUGAUAUUUUUGAGCUGCAGACAUUCUAGAUACUUAGACAUUCAUAAAAGAGCACCAGAGAUCAAAGUCAGGACAUAAAGCACAUGUCAAAUGGAAAGGAAAAUGUGAAAUGCUCUUUAUAUACGCAGGGAAAAAAACCCCAGUCAGAAUGAAAUUCAGAAACAACAAGCAAUAAAACUAGUAAUUAGGGUAGAGGAAUUGAGAUUUAAAAUAGGAAAUAUUGAAUGCAACUAAAAUACAAAUAGAGCAGUUAUAACCCAGUUACAGUGCCACAAUUAAUUUUAAAUUGCUCUCGAUUCAAAACAAGAAACCAAUCAGUUUUAAAUUUAGAUUUGAAUGUGGCUUUAUUCCAUCUUUGUCCAGCAGUUGCUAAAAGCGACUUUAUCUUGUUUGAUUCUACCAACAUCUUUUACCUAUUACACAAAAGCAUAAAAAACAUAGAAGCUGCCAUGUUUCAGUGUACAGCUACAGCUGAUGCUCUGCCUGCAGCUGGAAGUGAUAACGCCCCAGGGUUUGUAGGAUUUACACACACACAAACACACACACACGCACACACACACACACACACACACACACACACACACACACAAAACAUUAUCUAACUGACUGUGCUAUUUUUCUUCUACAUAUUGGAGAACCAACAUAAAUAAAUAAAUGAAGAUGUUUUGAUUGGAACUAAAUGUGAUCUUUUUUUCCUCAAGGACGGCUCGCUCUUGAUCCACCGUGCACUCUGUGACUCUUUCUCCAAUAUAAUCAUCACCUGAUGCUGUAAUGAUCAUUGUGUGUUUGCCCUGACUAUCUAUAAAGGACGUUCUGUCACGACUCACCAAUGUUAAUGCUCCUUUUAAGCAAAGUUCAAUAUUGACAAAGAGAAAGAAAUGUAGUCACAUCUUCCCACUUAACCACGGAAUCCACAUCUUUUUAUCAACAGGACGUUUCUUGUCUUUUUCCGCUUGAUGAAAGAACCUCAAGGCGAUGAUUUGCUAUCAAUAAGUAGUUAUUUAAAAUACUUUUUUUUUUUAAAUAUUUUCCUGCUGCUGUUUUUAUUUAUUUUGUUUUGUCCUUAUACUUGCAUUUUGUUAACAAAUUCUGGUGGGUUCCAUUAUUUCAUUCUCAAGUCUGUGUGCAAUUAAUUAAUUUCAUUAAUUCAUUGGCAGCAGCUAAGGUAAUAUGUCUACCUUAGCUUUGUCAAAAUCUUGGUUGAUUUCUUUUACUAGCAAUUUUGUCUCAGAUACAUUCAUUUAUUUAUUGUUAGUUUCAAAAAUAACAACAGAUUCAAUGAUAAUUUACUUUAUUUCUGAA
ensembl:lncRNA